UCGCUCCUACCGAUUGAGUGUUUCGGUGAAUAAUUCGGACUGCAGCAGUGUCCAGAUCCUGGUCGUUGCAGCGGGAAGUCUAGUAAACCUCAACACUUAGAGGAAGGAG
rnacentral:rRNA from 1 species